rnacentral:rRNA from 1 species
GACGAACGCUGGCGGCGUGCUUAACACAUGCAAGUCGAACGGAAAGGCCCUGCUUUUGUGGGGUGCUCGAGUGGCGAACGGGUGAGUAACACGUGAGUAACCCGUCCUUGACUUUGGGAUAACUUCAGGAAACUGGGGCUAAUACCGGAUAUGAGCUCCUGCUGCAUGGUGGGGGUUGGAAAGUUUCGGCGGUUGGGGAUGGACUCGCGGCUUAUCAGCUUGUUGGUGGGGUAGUGGCUUACCAAGGCUUUGACGGGUAGCCGGCCUGGGAGGGUGACCGGCCACAUUGGGACUGAGAUACGGCCCAGACUCCUACGGGAGGAAGCAGUGGGGAAUAUUGCACAAUGGGCGGAAGCCUGAUGCAGCAACGCCGCGUGCGGGAUAACGGCCUUCGGGUUGUAAACCGCUUUCGCCUGUGACGAAGCGUGAGUGACGGUAAUGGGUAAAGAAGCACCGGCUAACUACGUG